GAUGAAGAACGCAGCGAAAUGCGAUAAGUAAUGUGAAUUGCAGAAUUCAGUGAAUCAUCGAAUCUUCGAACGCACAUUGCGCCCGCCAGUAUUCUGGCGGGCAUGCCUGUCUGAGCGUCAUUUCAACCCUCAUGCCCCUAGGGCGUGGUGUUGGGGAUCGGCCAAAGCCCGCGAGGGACGGCCGGCCCCUAAAUCUAGUGGCGGACCCGUCGUGGCCUCCUCUGCGAAGUAGUGAUAUUCCGCAUCGGAGAGCGAUGAGCCCCUGCCGUUAAACCCCCAACUUUCCAAGGUUGACCUCAGAUCAGGUAGGAAUACCCGCUGAACUUAAGCAUAUCAAUAAGCGGAGGA
rnacentral:misc_RNA from 1 species